ACUCGGCUGCAUGAAGCUGGAAUCGCUAGUAAUCGCAGAUCAGAAUGCUGCGGUGAAUACGUUCCCGGGUCUUGUACACACCGCCCGUCACACCAUGGGAGUUGGAAAUGCCCGAAGUCAGUGACCGAACCGAAAGGAAGGAGCUGCCGAAGGUGGAGCCGAUGACUGGGGUGAAGUCGUAACAAGGUAUC
rnacentral:rRNA from 1 species